UGAUCCAGCAAACAAGUGCUCUGAUUGUGAUGCUCAUGAGGCAGAUUGCUUUUUCAGCUCAAAUUGCUGGAAAAUACAAGUUAGUCUGCAGAAGGGCCUAACAGAGGGAAGACAAAGUAUAAAAUCAGCACAAAGAGGACUGGGAGCAGAAGGUUCCUUAGUGAGGGUUAUAUUGUCAUGGAGAGAUGUUGAAUGUGUAGAUGAGGGAAGGAAGCUGAACAUCCGGCCAGGGCUGUUGAGGAAGACAAGGCAGGGCAGAUGAAAGGCUGCCUAAACAUCUGCUGUCAUGCAACUGCACUGGUACCCUUCAAAGUUAAGCCACCACAAAGAAUUUUAUUCCAUCCACCAUGGGAAAGAAGUCACUCUACAGCCUGGAACAGGAGCUGUUCACCAGCCAUCUCCUCAUACACCCAAACGCAGGGAUGUACAGCAAAAUGUGCCACCCCAUCACUUUGUGUAAAGCAGCACCUCUGCUUAAGAGCCGUGCUAAUCACAUUACUUAAUGAGUUCACAAAUAAUCACUUUGUGCUUAUAAUCUGAAGAUAGAAGUUUUGGCAGCUGAGACAGGGAAAUUAAAAAAAAAUCUUUAAAAUAAACCAAGACCUGUUAAAUCCUCUGUAUCUCUU
rnacentral:lncRNA from 1 species